UACAGAGGGUGCAAGCGUUGUUCGGAAUUAUUGGGCGUAAAGGGGAGGUAGGUGGUCUCAUUUGUCUAAGGUGAAAUCCCUGGGCUUAACCCAGGACGUGCCUUAGAAACGGUGAGACUAGAGUACUGGAGAGGUUUGUGGAAUUCCCGGUGUAGCGGUGAAAUGCGUAGAGAUCGGGAGGAACACCAGAGGCGAAGGCGGCAAACUGGACAGUUACUGACACUCAACUCCGAAAGCGUGGGGAUCAAACAGGAUUAGAACCGUACGCU
rnacentral:rRNA from 1 species